rnacentral:rRNA from 1 species
AACGAACGCUGGCGGCAGGCUUAACACAUGCAAGUCGAGCGGGGGAAGGUAGCUUGCUACUGGACCUAGCGGCGGACGGGUGAGUAAUGCUUAGGAAUCUGCCUAUUAGUGGGGGACAACAUCUCGAAAGGGAUGCUAAUACCGCAUACGUCCUACGGGAGAAAGCAGGGGAUCUUCGGACCUUGCGCUAAUAGAUGAGCCUAAGUCGGAUUAGCUAGUUGGUGGGGUAAAGGCCUACCAAGGCGACGAUCUGUAGCGGGUCUGAGAGGAUGAUCCGCCACACUGGGACUGAGACACGGCCCAGACUCCUACGGGAGGCAGCAGUGGGGAAUAUUGGACAAUGGGGGGAACCCUGAUCCAGCCAUGCCGCGUGUGUGAAGAAGGCCUUAUGGUUGUAAAGCACUUUAAGCGAGGAGGAGGCUACUUUAGUUAAUACCUAGAGAUAGUGGACGUUACUCGCAGAAUAAGCACCGGCUAACUCUGUGCCAGCAGCCGCCGCGG